UACGGGGGGGGGCAAGCGUUGUUCGGAAUUACUGGGCGUAAAGGGCUCGUAGGUGGCCAACUAAGUCGGACGUGAAAUCCCUCGGCUUAACCGGGGAACUGCAUCCGAUACUGGAUGGCUUGAGUUCGGGAGAGGGAUGCGGAAUUCCAGGUGUGAGCGGUGAAAUGCGUAGAUAUCUGGAGGAACACCGGUGGCGAAGGCGGCAUCCUGGACCGACACUGACGCUGAGGAGCGAAAGCCAGGGGGAGCAAAGCGGG
rnacentral:rRNA from 1 species